UGCAGAGCAGGAGGUGGCCAGUUCCUGGAUUCCGGCCAGCUGAGUGCACACACAGCGACCGCAUCUGCAGCCGCAUCUGCAGACGGGUGCCGUGCCUUCCAGAUACAGCCUCAGCCGCCAAGUGGGGAUGACAGGCUGGUCACUUGGGAUGCUGCACCGGGUAGAAAAGAGAGCCCUGAAUUUGGGGGACCUGUGUUCUCAGAAGAGAAGGCGAUUAGGGCUGCUCGGGCCCAGAGAAAAGGCUGUGUGAAGACAGAGUGGGAAGGCAGCCGUCUGCAAGCCAAGGAGAAACCAGCCCUGAUCCGCGACUUCCAGC